rnacentral:rRNA from 1 species
GACACGGAGCCGAAGCGAAAGCGAGUCUUAAUAGGGCGACUAGUAACAUGGUGUAGACCCGAAACCGCAGUGAUCUACCCAUGUCCAGGUUGAAGCGCAGGUAAAAUUGCGUGGAGGACCGAACCGGUGAGCGUUGAAAAGCUUUCGGAUGAGAUGUGGGUAGGGGUGAAAUUCCAAUCGAACGCGGAGAUAGCUGGUUCUCCCCGAAAUAGCUUUAGGGCUAGCCUGAGGUAGUAAGUAUAGGCGGUAGAGCACUGAUCGGGCUAGGGGCCGUAAAGGUUACCGAACCCUGUCAAACUCCGAAUGGAUAUACUGUAGAGCCUUGGAGUCAGACUACGAGUGAUAAGAUCCGUGGUCAAAAGGGAAACAGCCCAGACCACCAGCUAAGGUCCCCAAUGUCGUACUAAGUGGAAAAGGAUGUGGGGUUUCAUAAACAACCAGGAUGUUGGCUCAGAAGCAGCCACCAUUUAAAGAGUGCGUAAUAGCUCACUGGUCGAGAGACCCUGCGCCGAAGAUUCCCGGGGCUAAAGUACGAAACCGAAGCUGUGGCUGUAUACGUAAAGUAUACGGGGUAGGGGAGCGUUCCCAUAGGGUAGAAGUCGAACUGGAAGGUUCGGUGGACUUGUGGGAAGUGAGAAUGUUGGUAUGAGUAGCGAAAAGAAAGGUGAGAAUCCUUUCCACCGAAAGCAUAAGGAUUCCUGAGCAACGAUCGUCGUCUCAGGGUAAGUCGGGACCUAAUCCGAGGCAGAGAGCGUAGGAGAUGGACAACUGGUUGAUAUUCCAGUACCGGUAGUAAUUGUUUGAGCAAUGGAGUGACACAGAAGGGCAGGCAAGCAUGCGAAUGGAAGAGCAUGUGUAAGCGUGUAGGGUGGUGCAUAGGCAAAUCCGUGCACUGAAAGCCUGAGGCGUGAUGCGGAGUGAGCAGAGAUGCGAGCGAAGUUGUUGACCCCACACUGUCGAGAAAAGCUUCUAGUGAGAGAGCUACCGCCCGUACCGUAAACCGACACAGGUAUGCGGGGAGAGAAUCCUAAGGUGCGCGGGAGAACCCUCGUUAAGGAACUCGGCAAAAUGUACCCGUAACUUCGGGAUAAGGGUAGCCACUGUUGUGAAGUCCCAUGCGGAUGGAGCAUAGAGUGGUCGCAGAGAAGAGGCCCAAGCGACUGUUUACCAUAAACACAGGUGCCUGCUAAAGCGAAAGCUGACGUAUAGGUGCUGACACCUGCCCAGUGCCGGAAGGUUAAGGAAGGAUGUUCGGAUUAGUCCAAAGCAUUCGACUGAAGCCCCGGUGAACGGCGGCCGUAACUAUAACGGUCCUAAGGUAGCGAAAUUCCUUGUCGGGUAAGUUCCGACCCGCACGAAAGGUGUAACGAUUUGGGCACUGUCUCAACGAGGGACCCGGUGAAAUUGAAAUACCUGUGAAGAUGCAGGUUACCCGCGACUGGACAGAAAGACCCCAUGGAGCUUUACUGUAACCUGACAUUGGGUUUUGAUACAUUACGUACAGGAUAGGUGGGAGGCAUGGAAAGCUGGACGCUAGUCUGGCUGGAGCCGACGUUGGGAUACCACCCUUGAUGUAUUGAAAUUCUAACCGCGAGAGUAACGAAAUCCGGGACAGUGUCAGGCGGGCAGUUUGACUGGGGCGGUCGCCUCCGAAAGAGUAACGGAGGCGCCCAAAGGUUCCCUCAGCGCGGCCGGAAAUCGCGCGAAGAGUGUAAAGGCAGAAGGGAGCUUGACUGCGAGUCAAACACGACGAGCAGGUACGAAAGUAGGGCUUAGUGAUCCGGUGGUACCGAGUGGAAGGGCCAUCGCUCAACGGAUAAAAGCUACCCUGGGGAUAACAGGCUAAUCUCUCCCAAGAGUCCAUAUCGACGGGGAGGUUUGGCACCUCGAUGUCGGCUCAUCACAUCCUGGGGCUGGAGCAGGUCCCAAGGGUUGGGCUGUUCGCCCAUUAAAGUGGUACGUGAGCUGGGUUCAGAACGUCGUGAGACAGUUCGGUCC